rnacentral:rRNA from 1 species
UACGGAGGGGGCUAGCGUUGUUCGGAAUUACUGGGCGUAAAGCGCACGUAGGCGGCUUUGUAAGUUAGAGGUGAAAGCCCGGAGCUCAACUCCGGAAUUGCCUUUAAGACUGCAUCGCUUGAACAUCGGAGAGGUGAGUGGAAUUCCGAGUGUAGAGGUGAAAUUCGUAGAUAUUCGGAAGAACACCAGUGGCGAAGGCGACUCACUGGACGAUUGUUGACGCUGAGGUGCGAAAGCGUAGGGAGCAAACAGG